UCCCCUAGUAGCGGCGAGCGAAGCGGGAAGAGCUCAAAUUUAUAAUCUGGCACCUUCGGUGUCCGAGUUGUAAUCUCUAGAAAUGUUUUCCGCGUUGGACCGCACACAAGUCUGUUGGAAUACAGCGGCAUAGUGGUGAGACCCCCGUAUAUGGUGCGGACGCCCAGCGCUUUGUGAUACAUUUUCGAAGAGUCGAGUUGUUUGGGAAUGCAGCUCAAAUUGGGUGGUAAAUUCCAUCUAAAGCUAAAUAUUGGCGAGAGACCGAUAGCGAACAAGUACCGUGAGGGAAAGAUGAAAAGCACUUUGGAAAGAGAGUUAACAGUACGUGAAAUUGUUGGAAGGGAAACGCUUGAAGUCAGACUUGCUUGCCGAGCAAUCGGUUUGCAGGCCAGCAUCAGUUUUCCGGGAUGGAUAAUGGUAGAGAGAAGGUAGCAGUUUCGGCUGUGUUAUAGCUCUCUGCUGGAUACAUCUUGGGGGACUGAGGAACGCAGUGUGCCUUUGGCGGGGGUUUCGACCUCUUCACACUUAGGAUGCUGGUGGAAUGGCUUUAAACGACCCGUCUUGAACCACGGACCAAA
rnacentral:rRNA from 1 species